UUCUCGAUUGAAGGGUUUUUAAACCCUAGCGCCGCCUUAAGGUGACUUCGUCUCUCCUACGUGGUUCACUAUUUUUAGCAAACUUUCAGAGUGCCACAGGCAGAGUCGUGAUGUGUGCUUUUUGAGGAAAAGCAUUUAAUGCUUCGUCCUCUUUCAUCAAAAAUCUAGCCAAACGAGGCUAUAAAUUUGUAUUUUGUUACUUUACUUUUUCAUUACAACGGUCUCAAAGGUCUGUAAAUCUUAAUGGUCUUUGUUUGCAUGUGCUUGAAAUGCCGAAUUCUCAUUGGUUCGUCGAAGACCUCUCGGAUUGAGGUCAAAUUUAUUUCUCUGAGAAUUUUUGAGUAGAUCUUAGCCGUAUAUGUUUCAAUUUGCUAAAAUCUGGGCCAUUGAAACAAUGUGGAGAAGCAAUGCUUGCUUGUCCUACAUCAUUUUAGAAUUAGGGUUUUAUGAUUUAGGAGUUCUAUAAAUCGAAUCCCAAAUUUGCAUUUUUUUUUAAAAAGUUUGAGCAUCUGAAAAUCUCAUUUGCAUAAAAAUUUGAAUACCUAGGUUUCUAGCUAUUUUCGAUAAAAACCUUUAACUUUUGGAUUAAGUUUAAAGUUUUUAAAUAUUAAGUGUUGUUGUUAUUGUUGAUUGGUGGCUGAGUGUUGGAAUUUGGAGGAGAAAAGGUUUUUCUAAGGUUCAAUCUCUUCUAGGAUGCACCAUAAAAAGGUAGAAACGUGGGCAUUGGAGGAGAACAAGCAAGCGAUAGAUUAGUUAAACGACAAAGGUAGACAGGGAGACGGUGCAGACCUAUAGGAGCUAUCAGCAGAUUUACAGGAGCACUCCAUUAUUCCGGAGGUGCUAGUUGGUUUAUUCUUGUGUGUAUAUAUAUGUAUAUGUAUUUUGGGCACGACGGGGUCUUGUCCCGUCCAUAUGUCUAGUACUCUAGUAGAGGCUCGUAGAUACGUAUGUAUGGGUAGCAUGGUCUCACGAUGUCAUUAUGGUACAUAUAUUAUUUUGAUAGCCGAGGGGCGUAUGUAUAUAAAUGUAAUUAUG